GAGGUACUGGAAGGUCCUCAGGCCGAAAGGGGCUCUGCCCGCCCGAGGAUGGGCCGGCGGCCGAUUAGGUAGUUGGUGGGGUAACGGCCCACCAAGCCGAAGAUCGGUACGGGCCAUGAGAGUGGGAGCCCGGAGAUGGACACUGAGACACGGGUCCAGGCCCUACGGGGCGCAGCAGGCGCGAAACCUCCGCAAUGCGGGCAACCGCGACGGGGGGACCCCCAGUGCCGUGGCAACGCCACGGCUUUUCCGGAGUGUAAAAAGCUCCGGGAAUAAGGGCUGGGCAAGGCCGGUGGCAGCCGCCGCGGUAAUACCGGCGGCCCGAGUGGUGGCCGCUAUUAUUGGGCCUAAAGCGUCCGUAGCCGGGCCCGUAAGUCCCUGGCGAAAUCCCACGGCUCAACCGUGGGGCUUGCUGGGGAUACUGCGGGCCUUGGGACCGGGAGAGGCCGGGGGUACCCCUGGGGUAGGGGUGAAAUCCUAUAAUCCCAGGGGGACCGCCAGUGGCGAAGGCGCCCGGCUGGAACGGGUCCGACGGUGAGGGACGAAGGCCAGGGGAGCGAACCGGAUUAGAUACCCGGGUAGUCCUGGCUGUAAAGGAUGCGGGCUAGGUGUCGGGCGAGCUUCGAGCUCGCCCGGUGCCGAAGGGAAGCCGUUA
rnacentral:rRNA from 1 species